AGCGAACGCUGGCGGCAGGCCUAACACAUGCAAGUCGAACGAACCUUUCGGGGUUAGUGGCGGACGGGGGAGGAACACGUGGGAACGUGCCUUUAGGUUCGGAAUAACUCAGGGAAACUGGUGCUAAUACCGAAUGUGCCCUGCGGGGGAAAGAUUUAUCGCCUUUAGAGCGGCCCGCGUCUGAUUAGCUAGUUGGUUGAGGUAAUGGCUCACCAAGGCGACGAUCAGUAGCUGGUCUGAGAGGAUGAGCAGCCACAUUGGGACUGAGACACGGCCCAAACUCCUACGGGAGGCAGCAGUGGGGAAUCUUGCGCAAUGGGCGAAAGCCUGACGCAGCCAUGCCGCGUGAAUGAUGAAGGUCUUAGGAUUGUAAAAUUCUUUCACCGGGGACGAUAAUGACGGUACCCGGAGAAGAAGCCCCGGCUAACUUCGUG
rnacentral:rRNA from 1 species